rnacentral:lncRNA from 1 species
UUGAAUCAAACGAAUAACGAAUCGAAUCAAAUUUAACAGAUAAAAUGUUCAGCCCUAGAUUGACUAAACCUACCUAAACCAGUCUCAACCAACUAUACUAUAUCAGACACAAAACGGGUAAACGCAAGGCCGCCGGAGAAGAGCUGAGACUGUCAUCACAUCGCAAGAUGGUAACCCGGCACAGAACUGAGAAGUCGAAACCCUAUCCAAACCUAACCGGAAACCGAACACCGCAUCGUUAGAUGGUUAGGCACU